rnacentral:rRNA from 1 species
GUGGGGAAUAUUGGACAAUGGGCGCAAGCCUGAUCCAGCCAUGCCGCGUGAGUGAAGAAGGCCUUAGGGUUGUAAAGCUCUUUCAGCGGGGAAGAUGAUGACGGUACCCGCAGAAGAAGCCCCGGCUAACUCCGUGCCAGCAGCCGCGGUAAUACGGAGGGGGCUAGCGUUGCUCGGAAUUACUGGGCGUAAAGGGCGCGUAGGCGGGCCAGCCAGUCAGGCGUGAAAGCCCCGAGCUCAACUCGGGAACUGCGCUUGAAACUGCUGGUCUAGAGUUCGGGAGAGGGUAGUGGAAUUCCCAGUGUAGAGGUGAAAUUCGUAGAUAUUGGGAAGAACACCAGCGGCGAAGGCGGCUACCUGGACCGAUACUGACGCUGAGGCGCGAAAGCGUGGGGAGCAAACAGG